rnacentral:snRNA from 1 species
GUUUUGCGCAGUGGCAGUACCGUAGCCAAUGAGGUUUAUCUGAG